CUACGGGGGGCACCAGUGGGGAAUAUUGCACAAUGGGCGCAAGCCUGAUGCAGCAACGCCGCGUGAGGGAUGAAGGCCUUCGGGUUGUAAACCUCUUUUAGCAGGGAAGAAGCGAAAGUGACGGUACCUGCAGAAAAAGCACCGGCUAACUACGUGCCAGCAGCCGCGGUAAUACGUAGGGUGCAAGCGUUGUCCGGAAUUAUUGGGCGUAAAGAGCUCGUAGGCGGUUUGUCACGUCUGCUGUGAAAAUCCAAGGCUCAACCUUGGACUUGCAGUGGGUACGGGCAGGCUAGAGUGCGGUAGGGGAGAUGGGAAUUCCUGGUGUAGCGGUGGAAUGCGCAGAUAUCAGGAGGAACACCAAUGGCGAAGGCAGAUCUCUGGGCCGUAACUGACGCUGAGGAGCGAAAGCGUGGGGAGCGAACAGGAUUAGAUACCCGGGUAGUC
rnacentral:rRNA from 1 species